rnacentral:lncRNA from 1 species
UCAAAAAUAAACCAAUACACAAAAUUUCAAAUUCAAAACACAAAUAAAAUUGCACAAUCUGAUAUGAAAAAUAAAAGCAAUAAUAGCAUUUGCCUUCUCUGUUUUUUCCUUUUGACAAAAUUGGGAAGAAGAAAAUUAAUCUUCACUUUACUUCCAAGCUCUUCCAAAAUUGGGAAGAGAAACUUGCACUAUAAUCCCAAUUGAAAAAGCUCAAUUCCAUUUCCAUCAAAUACUCAAAUUCAACCAAAAUCACUUCCCCAACAAUUAAAAAAACCUCCUCAGAUCUAUCCAAAAUCAACUUUAUUUGCCAAAGAAUAAAACAACCAAAGAAACACCAUCAUUAAAGACCUCAAUGAAUUCAAAUCCAAAAAUCAAUCUUCCACAAGUAAAAAUUCUAAGAAAGAAACACACCAAUACACAAAAAAAUGGGUGUGGGGGUUCGAAGAAGAUGAAAAAACGAGGUGUUGGGAGGUGGGGUGGGGGUCAAGGUGGGGUAAGGG